rnacentral:lncRNA from 1 species
UUGACGAGUUAUCCAUGACCUCCGGUCUGUAGGGAUUCACGAUAGAAGGACUGUAUCAUAUGAUAACUGCACCUAGAGGUUCAUCAUUCUAUUCUGCUGGGUAGCCACUACAUACUGCUAGGUGUCACUGGUGGAUGGUGAGACUCACAGAGAUCAUCUUGAUGGUCGAUAAUCCCUGGUGAGUUGAGUUGAAAUUGUUUCAACCCAUUGAAAGAAGUUUUCAAUGAUAUUGUGAUAGAGAUCGCAAU